UACAGAGGGUGCAAGCGUUGCUCGGAAUUAUUGGGCGUAAAGGGUAGGUAGGUGGUCUCGUUUGUCUGAGGUGAAAGCCCUGGGCUUAACCUAGGAAGUGCCUUGGAAACGGCGAGACUUGAGUCCUGGAGAGGGUCGUGGAAUUCCCGGUGUAGCGGUGAAAUGCGUAGAGAUCGGGAGGAACACCGGUGGCGAAGGCGGCCAUCUGGACGGAUACUGACGCUGAGGCGCGAAAGCGUGGGGAUCAAACAGG
rnacentral:rRNA from 1 species